GGAGUGGUGUCCGAGUGGUUAUGGAGCUGCGUUUAGGCCUUUCUAAGCAUUCUCCGCAGUGGCUUUGCCUCGUGGGUUCGAAUCCCACCCGCUUCA
rnacentral:tRNA from 1 species